UACAUGGGGUGCAAACGUUGCUCGGAAUUAUUGGGCGUAAAGCGCGCGUAGGCGGUUAUCUAAGUUGGAUGUGAAAGCCCUUGGCUCAACUGAGGAAGUGCAUCCGAAACUGGCAGGCUAGAGUACUAAAGAGGAUCGCGGAAUUCCCGGUGUAGAGGUGAAAUUCGUAGAUAUCGGGAGGAACACCAGUGGCGAAGGCGGCGACCUGGGCCAAUACUGACGCUGAGGUGCGAAAGCGUGGGGAGCAAACAGG
rnacentral:rRNA from 1 species